UACGGAGGGGGCUAGCGUUGUCCGGAAUUACUGGGCGUAAAGCGCGCGUAGGUGGUCCACCAAGUCGGGGGGUGAAAGCCCAGGGGCUCAACCCCUGGGAAUUGCCUCCGAGACUGAUGGACUCGGAGUUCGGGGAGAGGAGAGCGGAAUUCCCAGUGUAGAGGUGAAAUUCGUAGGAUAUUGGGAAGAACACCGGUGGCGAAGGCGGCUCUC
rnacentral:rRNA from 1 species